AUACGAAAGGUGCAAGCGUUGUUCGGAUUUACUGGGCGUAAAGAGAGUGUAGGUUGUUUAUUAAGUCGGAUGUGAAAUCCCGGGGCUCAACCUCGGAACUGCAUUCGAUACUGGUAGACUAGAGUUCGGGAGGGGUAAGCGGAAUUCCGUGUGUAGCAGUGAAAUGCGUAGAUAUACGGAGGAACACCUGAGGCGGAGGCGGCUUACUGGACCGAUACUGACACUGAGACUCGAAAGCGUGGGUAGCAAACAGGAUUAGAAACCCUAGUAGUCC
rnacentral:rRNA from 1 species